rnacentral:rRNA from 1 species
AUACGUAGGGGGCGAGCGUUGUCCGGAAUGAUUGGGCGUAAAGGGCGCGUAGGCGGCCUGUUAAGUCUGGAGUGAAAGUCCUGUUUUCAAGAUGGGAAUUGCUUUGGAUACUGAUGGGCUUGAGUGCAGGAGAGGUUAUCGGAAUUCCCGGUGUAGCGGUGAAAUGCGUAGAGAUCGGGAGGAACACCAGUGGCGAAGGCGGGUAACUGGACUGCAACUGACGCUGAGGCGCGAAAGUGUGGGGAGCAAACAGGAUUAGAUACCCUGGUAGUCCACACUGUAAACGAUGAAUGCUAGGUGUAAGAGGUAUCGACCCCUUUUGUGCCGGAGUUAGCACAAUAAGCAUUCCGCCUGGGGAGUACGGCCGCAAGGUUGAAACUCAAAUGAAUUGACGGGG